rnacentral:rRNA from 1 species
GUGUCAGCCGCCGCGGUAAUACGGAGGGAGCUAGCGUUGUUCGGAAUUACUGGGCGUAAAGCGCACGUAGGCGGCGAUUCAAGUCAGAGGUGAAAGCCCGGGGCUCAACCCCGGAACUGCCUUUGAAACUAGAUUGCUAGAAUCCUGGAGAGGCGAGUGGAAUUCCGAGUGUAGAGGUGAAAUUCGUAGAUAUUCGGAAGAACACCAGUGGCGAAGGCGACUCGCUGGACAGGUAUUGACGCUGAGGUGCGAAAGCGUGGGGAGCAAACAGGAUUAGAAACCCUAGUAGUCC